CUUUCCCGAAGCGCCAACGGGUUCUCUGCGGAUGAAAACCCGUUUAACAGUCUCAGAAGGAUAACUGUUGAUCUUUAAAGAAGGUUUAUUCAUGAAGAAGCAGUCAGAGUGUUGUUUGAAAAUCUCCAAAAAAGUGAACUCCAGGACAUUCAGAAAAUUUUAAAGCGACCUGAAGAGAUGAAAAUCUGAAAGAAGUAUAGUGAACAUUGGAGGGUGACAAAAAAUAUUCCAACCAGACUCAGUAAGUCCUUCUCUGAUACCUAUCAAAAUAUGGAGACUAGUAUUCUCUUGAUGGAAAACACCUCGAUGAUUGCUCAGUUCUGGGUACUUCACUUCGAUUUCUGUUUUUGAAACUGCCAUCUCAGAACAGUCCUUUUUCUGAAUUUAUUGUCUGAUUUGGAUUUUAGAAGGGGAAUUCAUAGAAUAGAAUUCCUUUGUUGUCCCACCAUACAAAAAGCAUUACUUUUUUGGGGAUGCAGCCCCAUUUUGUGUUUCUCAAGGAGAUUCUUUUGGCUCACCCCAUUAAUAGUUUCUUGUAAAAUUAUUGUAUAGGAUCCACUCCAGUAAUGAGCCAUUUGAAAAAAGGAAAUUCUGCCCUCAGCAAAAAAUCACAUGUAGAAACUCCAGCAAAUAUAGUCUGCUCUGAUAAAGUAUGUUGUUGCCGCUAAUCUCAUUCUUCUGAUAUCAGACCAAGGCAACGAAAUUCAUCAAGGCAAGGAGGCAAUACUGCACCUGUUGUUGGUAAAAGCCUUAGCCACCAUACAGAUGACAGUAUGACUUUAUUCAGUUGUAAUCCCAAUUUUGAAGGAGAGCAUCCCAGAGGUAUGGGUCCAAGGGUCUUUCACCCCUCUGCCCCUACUACUACCCUCUUGACAGGAGUUUUGCUCAAUGUGUAUAUUGAGUGCCCCCAUGCUGCACAGACUCAUUUACAAACAUCUUUCCUUGCCCAGGAUUCAAACCCAGAUCCUUGGGUAUGGCAAUCAGCUCCUGAUAAAGUAGGGGAUACCCAUAUCCCUAUAAAACACAAUCUUCUUCAAAUAAUACUACUAUUCUGUUUGAAAUAUUUAAUCCUUUUGAUAAUUCCUGAACUGUAUAAUAUGCAUUUUCAGCAACAGCUUCUAUUCAUAGGUCCCUGUUUACAAAAGAUGGCUUUCCAGAGCAAAAAUCCUCUUUGAGGCUGAAAUUUUUGCAUUUCUUAAACCUUCUUCAAACUGUAGCGUCAGACAUUGCAAUAUGUCCAUAUAUAUAGCAUAGAUUUUAUAAGCAGUCUGACUAGUAUUUUUUACCCUUCUUUAAAUAAAAGAGCAUUAUAUGAGGAAAA